rnacentral:rRNA from 1 species
GACGAACGCUGGCGGCGUGCUUAACACAUGCAAGUCGAACGAAGAGCGAUGGAAGCUUGCUUCUAUCAAUCUUAGUGGCGAACGGGUGAGUAACGCGUAAUCAACCUGCCCUUCAGAGGGGGACAACAGUUGGAAACGACUGCUAAUACCGCAUACGAUCUGACCUCGGCAUCGAGGAUAGAUGAAAGGUGGCCUCUAUUUAUAAGCUAUCACUGAAGGAGGGGAUUGCGUCUGAUUAGCUAGUUGGAGGGGUAACGGCCCACCAAGGCGAUGAUCAGUAGCCGGUCUGAGAGGAUGAACGGCCACAUUGGGACUGAGACACGGCCCAGACUCCUACGGGAGGCAGCAGUGGGGAAUCUUCCGCAAUGGACGAAAGUCUGACAGAGCAACGCCGCGUGAGUGAUGACGGCCUUCGGGUUGUAAAGCUCUGUUAAUCGGGACGAAAGGCCUUCUUGCGAGUAGUUAGAAGGAUUGACGGUACCG